rnacentral:lncRNA from 1 species
UUUUUUUAGGAGCAAGUUAUUGGUUUAGUUGUUUUUUUUUUUUUUAACAUCCAAAGGACCUAAAAUUCAGGCUCUGGAAAUAACACAGACAAGACCUAUGUGUGUGCUGACAGCAAGGGAAAGCUAACCGCAUCAAACAUCAGUGUCCGACUUCAGCAUCAGGACUGUGGUCCCAACCACGGUGCCUCCAGGAAGUUCAGACGCAGGUACCACGGACAGGCUGUCCACCACUCAUCAACCACUAGAUGGCGCCACUAAUGGGCUAUCCUAUCCACAGUGUAGACCCACAGAACCAAACUCGACCUGGACCUUUCAACCCACUGGAGAGAGUCCUGGUGGGGUCUGAUGGAUAAAUCCAGGUGGCGGUUCCUCAGUUCCAACAUGGUACCUGGCCUUCUUCCAUUCUCAGCCUGACUCCCUGCAGAGAGGGAAAGCCAAUCCUUUGGCCAAGUCCACCUUCUCAUCUUUCUGUCUCUACGGAGCCCAAGCCGACAGUGCUUGGGUGUUACCGUGUGGACAACACACUCCCGUGCUAGCUACACAGGGUUAACUGGGGAGGGUAAAUUAGCGUGGAGACGUCCUAUAAUUGGAAAUGCACCAAGAACACGAACAUCAUCCCCAUAACAAUCAGCUCCUCUCAGAAACUGGCUGGCCAGGGAUCGCCCCAAAGGAGCUGGAAACCAUUUCUAGA